GGUUAAGCGACUAAGCGUACACGGUGGAUGCCCUGGCAGUCAGAGGCGAUGAAGGACGUGCUAAUCUGCGAUAAGCGUCGGUAAGGUGAUAUGAACCGUUAUAACCGGCGAUUUCCGAAUGGGGAAACCCAGUGUGAUUCGUCACACUAUCAUUAACUGAAUCCAUAGGUUAAUGAGGCGAACCGGGGGAACUGAAACAUCUAAGUACCCCGAGGAAAAGAAAUCAACCGAGAUUCCCCCAGUAGCGGCGAGCGAACGGGGAGGAGCCCAGAGCCUGAAUCAGUGUGUGUGUUAGUGGAAGCGUCUGGAAAGGCGCGCGAUACAGGGUGACAGCCCCGUACACAAAAAUGCACAUGCUGUGAGCUCGAUGAGUAGGGCGGGACACGUGGUAUCCUGUCUGAAUAUGGGGGGACCAUCCUCCAAGGCUAAAUACUCCUGACUGACCGAUAGUGAACCAGUACCGUGAGGGAAAGGCGAAAAGAACCCCGGCGAGGGGAGUGAAAAAGAACCUGAAACCGUGUACGUACAAGCAGUGGGAGCCUCUUUAUGGGGUGACUGCGUACCUUUUGUAUAAUGGGUCAGCGACUUAUAUUCUGUAGCAAGGUUAACCGAAUAGGGGAGCCGAAGGGAAACCGAGUCUUAACUGGGCGUUAAGUUGCAGGGUAUAGACCCGAAACCCGGUGAUCUAGCCAUGGGCAGGUUGAAGGUUGGGUAACACUAACUGGAGGACCGAACCGACUAAUGUUGAAAAAUUAGCGGAUGACUUGUGGCUGGGGGUGAAAGGCCAAUCAAACCGGGAGAUAGCUGGUUCUCCCCGAAAGCUAUUUAGGUAGCGCCUCGUGAAUUCAUCUCCGGGGGUAGAGCACUGUUUCGGCAAGGGGGUCAUCCCGACUUACCAACCCGAUGCAAACUGCGAAUACCGGAGAAUGUUAUCACGGGAGACACACGGCGGGUGCUAACGUCCGUCGUGAAGAGGGAAACAACCCAGACCGCCAGCUAAGGUCCCAAAGUCAUGGUUAAGUGGGAAACGAUGUGGGAAGGCCCAGACAGCCAGGAUGUUGGCUUAGAAGCAGCCAUCAUUUAAAGAAAGCGUAAUAGCUCACUGGUCGAGUCGGCCUGCGCGGAAGAUGUAACGGGGCUAAACCAUGCACCGAAGCUGCGGCAGCGACACUAUGUGUUGUUGGGUAGGGGAGCGUUCUGUAAGCCUGCGAAGGUGUACUGUGAGGUAUGCUGGAGGUAUCAGAAGUGCGAAUGCUGACAUAAGUAACGAUAAAGCGGGUGAAAAGCCCGCUCGCCGGAAGACCAAGGGUUCCUGUCCAACGUUAAUCGGGGCAGGGUGAGUCGACCCCUAAGGCGAGGCCGAAAGGCGUAGUCGAUGGGAAACAGGUUAAUAUUCCUGUACUUGGUGUUACUGCGAAGGGGGGACGGAGAAGGCUAUGUUGGCCGGGCGACGGUUGUCCCGGUUUAAGCGUGUAGGCUGGUUUUCCAGGCAAAUCCGGAAAAUCAAGGCUGAGGCGUGAUGACGAGGCACUACGGUGCUGAAGCAACAAAUGCCCUGCUUCCAGGAAAAGCCUCUAAGCAUCAGGUAACAUCAAAUCGUACCCCAAACCGACACAGGUGGUCAGGUAGAGAAUACCAAGGCGCUUGAGAGAACUCGGGUGAAGGAACUAGGCAAAAUGGUGCCGUAACUUCGGGAGAAGGCACGCUGAUACGUAGGUGAAGUCCCUUGCGGAUGGAGCUGAAAUCAGUCGAAGAUACCAGCUGGCUGCAACUGUUUAUUAAAAACACAGCACUGUGCAAACACGAAAGUGGACGUAUACGGUGUGACGCCUGCCCGGUGCCGGAAGGUUAAUUGAUGGGGUUAGCGGUAACGCGAAGCUCUUGAUCGAAGCCCCGGUAAACGGCGGCCGUAACUAUAACGGUCCUAAGGUAGCGAAAUUCCUUGUCGGGUAAGUUCCGACCUGCACGAAUGGCGUAAUGAUGGCCAGGCUGUCUCCACCCGAGACUCAGUGAAAUUGAACUCGCUGUGAAGAUGCAGUGUACCCGCGGCAAGACGGAAAGACCCCGUGAACCUUUACUAUAGCUUGACACUGAACAUUGAGCCUUGAUGUGUAGGAUAGGUGGGAGGCUUUGAAGUGUGGACGCCAGUCUGCAUGGAGCCGACCUUGAAAUACCACCCUUUAAUGUUUGAUGUUCUAACGUUGGCCCCUGAUCGGGGUUGCGGACAGUGUCUGGUGGGUAGUUUGACUGGGGCGGUCUCCUCCUAAAGAGUAACGGAGGAGCACGAAGGUUGGCUAAUCCUGGUCGGACAUCAGGAGGUUAGUGCAAUGGCAUAAGCCAGCUUGACUGCGAGCGUGACGGCGCGAGCAGGUGCGAAAGCAGGUCAUAGUGAUCCGGUGGUUCUGAAUGGAAGGGCCAUCGCUCAACGGAUAAAAGGUACUCCGGGGAUAACAGGCUGAUACCGCCCAAGAGUUCAUAUCGACGGCGGUGUUUGGCACCUCGAUGUCGGCUCAUCACAUCCUGGGGCUGAAGUAGGUCCCAAGGGUAUGGCUGUUCGCCAUUUAAAGUGGUACGCGAGCUGGGUUUAGAACGUCGUGAGACAGUUCGGUCCCUAUCUGCCGUGGGCGCUGGAGAACUGAGGGGGGCUGCUCCUAGUACGAGAGGACCGGAGUGGACGCAUCACUGGUGUUCGGGUUGUCAUGCCAAUGGCACUGCCCGGUAGCUAAAUGCGGAAGAGAUAAGUGCUGAAAGCAUCUAAGCACGAAACUUGCCCCGAGAUGAGUUCUCCCUGACCCUUUAAGGGUCCUGAAGGAACGUUGAAGACGACGACGUUGAUAGGCCGGGUGUGUAAGCGCAGCGAUGCGUUGAGCUAACCGGUACUAAUGAACCGUGAGGCUUAACCUU
rnacentral:rRNA from 1 species